rnacentral:lncRNA from 13 species
AAAAGCUGACAAAUAGUGUAAAGAAGCUGCUAUGGUUAAGCUGUGUCUUCACCCAAAUCUUACCUUGAAUUGUAAUAAUCUCCAGAUGUCAAGAGUGAGGCCAGGUGAAGAUUAUUGACUAAUGGGGGCAGCUUCCCCCGUACUGUUCUCCUGGUAGUGAGUAAGUCUCGCGAGAUCUGAUGGUUAUAUAAAUGGGAGUUCCCCUGUACAAACCCUUUCUUGCCUGCUGUUAUAUGAGACAUGACUUGCUUCCCCUGCACUUUCUGCCAUAAUUGUGAGGUCCCUUCAGUCAUGUGGAACUGAUCUUGCUUAGUUACCCAGGCUAGAGUGCACUGAUGACAUCAUAGCUCAUGGCAACCUUGAACUCCUGGCCUCAAGUGACUUUCCCUCAAGAAGUUGAGACUACAGGUGAGUUCUCCUUCUUAGUUCACAUGAGCUCUGGUCGUUUAAAGGAGUGUGGCAACUCUCCCAUCUCUUGCUCCUGCUCCUACCAUGUUGCAUGCUGGCUCCCUGUUGCCUACCACCAUGAUCGUCAACUUCCUGAAGUCUCUCACCAGAAGCAGAUGCCAGCUCCGUGCUUGCUGUACAGCCAGCAGAACCAUGAACCAAUUAAACCUCUUUUCUUUAUAAAUUACCUAGCAUCGAGUAUUUAUAGCAACACGAGAAUGGACUGACACAAAAGGUUUGAAAAUUCUGCACAAUUAUAGUGUAGUAGACUGAAUAAUGUGCCCCACAGAUGUCAGUAUCCUAACUGCUGUAACUUGUGAAUGUCACAUUACUUGGCAAAGACUUUACUUCUGUGAUUCAGUUAAGAAUUUUGAACUGUGGAUGUUAUCCUUAGCUUCCAAACUGCAUUCUAAAUGUAAUCACAGGUAUCCUUAUAAAUAGGAGACAAAAGGCGAUUUCACACAGAUAAGAAAAAGUCAGUGUGACCAAGGAGACAGAGACUGGAGUGAUGGAAUCACGAACCCAGUAUGCCAGGAGCCACCAGAACACAAAAAAGUAAAUAAGGAUUUUCUUCUAGAUCCUCCAAGGGAGUGUGGCCUUUAGACACCUGCAUGUCAGAUUUUGGACUUCUGGCCUCCCGAGAUGUAAGACAAUAGAUUUACGCCACCAAGUUUGUGCUAAUUGGUUACAGCAGACAUAAGUUAAUGAAUUUUCUAUCUGCUUCUGAAAUCAGUGAAAAUUUAACAUACCUUCAGGUUCAUCUUUGGAGUAUCUGUAAAUAAAAGCUUUGCUUAUCACUCUAGUAUUUGUAGG